UCACAAGCAGUAUCCACGGAGCUCAGAGUUCACAGCUUAGUGGCUUGCAGUACUGCCCUACCGAAGUCAACAUCACUCCAAGCCUGCUGGAUAAGUGCGUAGUGGGAUGUAGAGGUAUGGACGGACAACCAGGUGGCUGCUCUACAGAUGUCCUGGAUAGGCACUUGGGCCAUAAAGGCUGUUGAAGAGGCUUGCGCCCUUGUAGAGUGGGCGGUGGUGAUCGCAUCUUCGAUUGAUCAUAGCAGAAGCGAAUGCAGGCAGUGAUCCAGGAGGAAAUCCUUUGAGCAGAUACAGAGCAACCCUUCAUCCUGUCAGCCACAGCGACAAACAAUUGUGUCGACUCGCGGAAUGGCUUGGUCCUGUUGAUGCAGAAGGCCAGAGCCCUCCUGACAUCCAUGGCAUGCAACCUGUGCUCCUCUUCCGACUUACGCAGCUCUGGAAAGAAGACUAGUAAGUAAAAUGUCCUGGCUCGAAUGAAGCAGAGACUACUUGGGAAGGAACGCCGGGUGUGGUCUGAGCGGGACCAUGGCCUUGUAAAAGACUGUGAAAGGCGGUUCUGAGGUGAGCACCUGAAUCUCAGAUACUCAGUGGGCUGAUGUCACAGUGAUCAGGAAUGUGACCUUCCAGGAGAGGAGAAGAAGAGAGCAAGAAGCCAGAGGCUUGAAAGUUGGGACUCAUGAGUUGUGACAGCACCAAAUUCAAGUCCCACAGAGGAAAUAGAUCCUUGACAUGCGGGUAGAGGUGCUCCAGGCCCUUGAGGAACCUGGCCGUGAUAUCCUGAGCGAAAACCAACCUUUCCUCGAAUGGCGUGUGGAAGACUGAGAUGGCCACUGAACGGACACUGAUGAGAGGGACAAGCCCUGGAGCUUGAGAUGCAGGAGGUAGUCUAGACUGAGCUGCAGCAAAGCUCACUCGGGAUGGACACCUUUAUCCAUGAUCCAGUAGGUGAACUGUAUCCAUUUGACCAGGUAGGUCGCUCUGGUGGAGGGCUUUCUACUUCCCAACAGGACUUGCUGGACCUUGGCCAAGCACUGCGGCUCCUGCACGUUUAGCCAUGCAGCAGCCAAGCCGUCAAAUGAAGGGCUGCCAAGUUCAGAUGCAGAAGACUUCCAUGGUUCUGGGACAACAGGUCUGCCCUGAGCGACAGCUGAAAUGGGGUCGCCACCAAGAGGCCCAGCAGGGUGCUGAACCAGUGCUGGUGUGGCACAAGACGACACUAUGAGAAUGACCUUCUCUCUGUCCUGUUUGAUCUUCAUGAGGACCCUGGGCAGCAAGGGCAACAGAGGGAAAGCAUAAAUCAGAGCCCCCAACCAUGGGAGUAGGCAGACAUCCGACAGGGAUUCUCUGUCCAUGCCUCGGAUCAAGUAGAAAGUAUGGCAUUUCCUGUUCUGCCUGGAUGCAAACAGGCAGAACCGGGGAGUUCCUCACUUGUGGAAGAUGGAACUGACCACCUCCAAGCGAAGGGACCAUUCGUGGCGAGACGAGAAUGUCCUGCUGAGGCAGUCUGCCCAAGCAUUCCUGGCCCCUGGUGGGUGAGGGAUCGCGAGAUGGAUGUCGUGCUGCAGGCGGAAGUUCCAGAGCUGGAGGACUUCCUGGCAGAAGGCAGACGACCUGGCUCCGCCCUGCCUGUUGAUAUAGAAGACUAUGGCUGUGCUGCCCGUCAGGACCUGAACCACCAUGAUUUGUAUGUGAGGCAGAAAGGCUUGGCAGGCUAGGCGAACUGCCAUAAGCUCCCUGAUGUUGAUGUGCAGGGACUGAUCUUGACUGGAUCAACGACCUUGAGUACUGAGAUCAUCUAAGUGUGCUCCCCAACCCAGGCCUGAAGCAUUGGAGAUGAAAGUCACCGAAGAGACUGGGGCCGCGAAUGGGACUCCCUCCAGCAUCGAGGUGGGAUCUUGCCACCAGGUGAGAGAUGACAGUACGCUGUCUGGAAUCACGACCACCUGGUCCAUGCUGUGCCGGUUGGGGACAUAGACCGACGCCAGCCAUGAGUGCCAGACCACGCAAGUGCAUGCCGCCAUGUGGCCCAACAGCCUCAGGCACGUGUGGGUGCUGGUGAGCGAGUGGGCUCGCAGACAUGAAAUGAAGCCCACCAUGGCUUGGAACGGAGUCUUGGGGAGGAAGGCCCUGACCCAAGUGGAGUCAAGUACUGCCCCAAGAAAUUAUGCAUUACACUGGAGUUAGGACUGACUUUUUCUCAUUUAUUAUAAGCCCCAGGUCACAGAAGGUGGAACAGACCAGUUCAAGAUGCCUCUGCAACUGAUCUGGGGAUCAGUUCCUUAUCAACCAGUCAUCGAGGUACGGGUAGAUUUGGACUCCCUGAUGUCGCAGGAGUUGGACCAAGGGGCACCCCAAGACCGCAAUGAAGAUGGAGGAAAAGUGGGCAGAACGGCUCUCUGGCCUGCUGAGUAUGGAGACCCAAGGUGCAGAGGGUGGCCUGGGACUCCUUAAGGCCAUGGAGCCUUGCAUCAGUGAGCUCUGAGACUAGCCCCGUUCCCUCGAAAGGGAGGUCCUGGAAUAGAGAUGUGGGCGGAAUGGAAGAUGGCGUCUGACAUACAGACUUGGCGAUCUUUAGGACCCCUGAGCGAAUGGACCAUGCAACCUGGGCUGGGGCGGAGGAGGGGAUGACACUGAAGCUGUCAUUGGACUCUUCAGCAAGCUCCUUGACCUCAAAAUUCAGGUUGGUAGCCACCCUCUGAGCAGGGCUUGGUGUUCACUGAAGUUGUUGGGGGGCCAUUAGUUUGUGAGGGCCCUGCCACCGCCUCAUCCAAGGACGAUGAGGAUAUCUGCACCACUGGAGGAUGAGGCGCACCCCUUGCUCAGCUGGGGACCGCUCUGUGGCCGCCAGAGACUGCUGCAAAGCUCCCACAUCUGACUUGGCACCACGCUCCGACUCCAGUUCCAGCUGCACUGGCAGUAGGUUGUCCGAUGCAGCCUGGGAGGCGCGACGGGAGUACAGUGCCGGCAAAACAGGUAUACUCCAUGGCAGGAUCCGGCUCAUGGGACUGCCAUCCCCAUGGAGCAGCGGCCCCGCGCCGCUCCCAGAAGCAGCCAGCACCAUGUCCCUGUGGCCCCUGGGGGAGAGGGAACAGAAGGCUCUGCACUGCUCUUGCCUGUGCGUACCUCCCCUGAAGCUCCCAUUGACUGAGAAUAGGUGUGGGGGAAAAUUAUGAGUCUAGGCUUUUCUGCUUGGCCUGGGCCCGCCUGGCGGCUGACAGGCCCAAAACCUGAGCUAAGCUAUGUAUUGUGUUCCCUGACAAAGUUGGUCAGAGGUUGAGACGCAGGGAAGGGGGGCCAGAGGGCAGGCGACGGAAAGCCCCAAAAACAGGACCAAUUCACAAUAUGUGCCUAGUGCUAUUAAAAUAUAAUAGCUGCU